UGAUUUAAAUGGUGGGACGGUUGA
rnacentral:piRNA from 1 species